rnacentral:SRP_RNA from 1 species
GCAGUGGGUAGGGCAGGUCGUUAGCCGCGAUCAUGACCACAAGGCUAUAGUGGUGCCAGUAACCCAUGUAUGAGGAUGAACCCCGUUUCAGCUGACGUUCGUCGUGUGACGUUGAUGAGCAGUCUUCGGAGUCUGCAACGGACAUAUCAUUGAUCGUAGGAUCGAUGGGAUUGUCUUAGACCCCCGAAACGGGUCAGGCCCUGGCGGGAACAGCCCUAAGGGGGAGCGGUGGAGCCCCGGAGGUAGCUGCUUUGAGGAACGCGGCGAAAGGGUCAUCUGCGACGGGACAUCCGAAAGGUGGGAGCCACUGC